CUUUGAUUAUGGCUCAGGACGAACGCUAGCUACAGGCUUAACACAUGCAAGUCGAGGGGAAACGACAUCGAAAGCUUGCUUUUGAUGGGCGUCGACCGGCGCACGGGUGAGUAACGCGUAUCCAACCUGCCCAUCACUUGGGAAUAACCUUGCGAAGGUAAGACUAAUGCCCAAUGACAUCCCACGAAGACAUCUGAAUGGGAUUAAAGAUUUAUCGGUGAUGGAUGGGGAUGCGUCUGAUUAGCUUGUUGGCGGGGUAACGGCCCACCAAGGCAACGAUCAGUAGGGGUUCUGAGAGGAAGGUCCCCCACAUUGGAACUGAGACACGGUCCAAACUCCUACGGGAGGCAGCAGUGAGGAAUAUUGGUCAAUGGGCGAGAGCCUGAACCAGCCAAGUAGCGUGCAGGAUGACGGCCCUAUGGGUUGUAAACUGCUUUUAUAAGGGAAUAAAGUGAGUCUCGUGAGACUUUUUGCAUGUACCUUAUGAAUAAGGACCGGCUAAUUCCGUGCCAGCAGCCGCGGUAAUACGGAAGGUCCGGGCGUUAUCCGGAUUUAUUGGGUUUAAAGGGAGCGUAGGCCGGAGAUUAAGCGUGUUGUGAAAUGUAGAGGCUCAACCUCUGCGCUGCAGCGCGAACUGGUCUUCUUGAGUACGCACAACGUGGGCGGAAUUCGUGGUGUAGCGGUGAAAUGCUUAGAUAUCACGAAGAACUCCGAUUGCGAAGGCAGCUCACGGGAGCGCAACUGACGCUGAAGCUCGAAAGUGCGGGUAUCGAACAGGAUUAGAUACCCUGGUAGUCCGCACGGUAAACGAUGGGUGCCCGCUGUUGGCCUGAAUAGGUCAGCGGCCAAGCGAAAGCAUUAAGCAUCCCACCUGGGGAGUACGCCGGCAACGGUGCAACUCAAAGGAAUUGACGGA
rnacentral:rRNA from 1 species